CUGGCGUCAGGAGUGAACGCUGGCGGCGUGCUUAACACAUGCAAGUCGAACGGAGUUUUUAAACGGAAGUUUUCGGAUGGAAGUUUAAGAACUUAGUGGCGGACGGGUGAGUAACGCGUGGGUAACCUGCCUCAUACAGGGGGAUAACAGUUAGAAAUGACUGCUAACACCGCAUAAUAUAGUGAAACCGCAUGAUUUUUGCUAUCAAAUAUUUAUAGGUAUGAGAUGGGCCCGCGUCUGAUUAGCUAGUUGGUGGGGUAAAAGCCUACCAAGGCGACGAUCAGUAGCCGGCUUGAGAGAGUGACCGGCCACAUUGGGACUGAGACACGGCCCAAACUCCUACGGGAGGCAGCAGUGGGGAAUAUUGGACAAUGGGGGAAACCCUGAUCCAGCGAACCGCCGCGUGAGUGAAGAAGUAUUUCGGUAUGUAAAGCUCUAUCAGCAGGGAAGAUAAUGACAGUACCUGACUAAGAAGCCCCGGCUAACUACGUGCCAGCAGCCGC
rnacentral:rRNA from 1 species